AAAUGUUCUAGGUCUUUUGAUGGU
rnacentral:piRNA from 1 species